AUACUCUAAAGUGCCUGACAUAUU
rnacentral:piRNA from 1 species